ACCCCAUUUUCUCCUAGGCUUUUAGGAGUGGCCUGAGAGGUGCUUGCAGGGUAUUCCAUUUUGCCUUAGACAGCUUAGGAGACCAACCACAUGCCUGGAGAUCUGUAUCUAUCCUUAGGCUCCUAGUGGGAUUCACACAAAACCAGUAUGUGUGGGCACAUUCUCCUAGCAGCUCGGUGUCUUUUUGCUGUUGCAGAGGUGAUUUCCAGGCGGAGCUGACCAGUGGGGUUCUCUGGCUGAGGGGAAGACCAGCAGUCAGCUGGUGGAUGUGCUUCUGGAAGAAAUAGCAACGGGAGCUCUAAGAGAGGGAAAUGGCUUCCCUGCAUGGAAGGAGGAGGGGAGCGCUGAAGCUUUCGUGGCCAAGCCCCGGAGCCAGGAUGUCAGGGAGAAGCAGGAGUAUCUGAGCCAGCUGAAGAACAAGCUGGGAGAUCUACUAGAGGGGAAGGCAGAUGAUCUGAAGACUGCUUUCUGUGCGAUUGAUCCCGGUAUCGACGAUCAGACGCUAGAUACCUACAUUGACCUGCCGGAUCAAGAAGAUGUGCCUGUGGAAACUGCACUCGAGAGGCUGCUUGCUGGAUAUGCGAGACGAGUAGGGCCCUCGCCCAGGGAGGGAAGCACGACAGGCUUCGGAGGGGAGGAAGGAGACUUCCAAUAAUAAGAAUAAAUGGACUGUUUGAUCUACGGGUUUGGGUGCCAAGCCGAGAGUUGGAGUUACUGCGUUAAAUACUUCUUCCCAUUGCAUAUGGAGGUACAGCUCGUAAGAGCUGAGUGGGUGGGCUAGCUUGAGCUAUCGGAAGCGCUUUCAUCUUAAGCAGCACAGCACUCCGAGACAAUUUUACAGCCUCUGCAGAGUCAUUUUAGCUCAGCAAGACCUGUGGUGGGAGGCUGCCUGAUCCCCAGACAGAGGCUUCACACCCCCGGGGCGCCGAGGCACUUCAGGGUGUCAGGCGCUCUGCUUGGUGACACAAGAGCUGUGCUCCACAGCCAUUGCUGGAACCUGAGAAG